AUCUAGCUGACGAGUCCAAAAUAAGACGAAUCAUAAAUCUUGGAU
rnacentral:hammerhead_ribozyme from 1 species